UGAAUACGAGAUGCUACGGCGUCGAAGCAGUGUAUGUCAGACUUCCAAGAAAAGCUCGCAAUGUCAUAAAUAAAGAAUGCCUGUACCAUAACCGACACAGGUGGGUAGGUAGAGUAUACUAAGGGGCGCGAGAUAACUCUCUCUAAGGAACUCGGCAAAAUAACUCCGUAACUUCGGGAGAAGGAGUGCCUUCUUUAAGAAGGUUGCAAUAACAAGACCCAAGCAACUGUUUAUCAAAAACACAGGUCUCCGCUAAGUCGUAAGACGAUGUAUGGGGGCUGACGCCUGCCCAGUGCCAGAAGGUUAAAGAAGCUGGUUAGCAAUAGCGAAGCUGGUGACUGAAGCCCUGGUGAACGGCGGCCGUAACUAUAACGGUCCUAAGGUAGCGAAAUUCCUUGUCGGGUAAGUUCCGACCCGCACGAAAGGCGUAAUGAUUUGGAUACUGUCUCGGAGAGGGACUCGGUGAAAUAGACUUGUCUGUGAAGAUGCGGACUACCUGCACCAGGACAGAAAGACCCUAUGAAGCUUUACUGUAACCUGAAAUUGAAAUUGGACUUUAUUUGCGCAGUAUAGGUGGGAGGCGUUGAAAGUAAUCUUGCGGGAUUAGUGGAGCCAUCAGUGAGAUACCACUCCUAUAAUGUUAGAUUUCUAACUUUGGAUCAUGAUCUGGUAAAGAACAGUUUCAGGCGGGCAGUUUGACUGGGGCGGUCGCCUCCCAAAUGGUAACGGAGGCGUACAAAGGUUUCCUCUGAACGGGUAGAAAUCGUAUCUAGAGUGUAAAGGCAUAAGGAAGCUUGACUGUGAGACCUACAAGUCGAGCAGGGACGAAAGUCGGUCUUAGUGAUCUGACGGUGCUGAGUGGAAAGGCCGUCACUCAACGGAUAAAAGUUACUCUAGGAUAACAGGCUGAUCUCCCCCAAGAGUUCACAUCGACGGGGAGGUUUGGCACCUCGAUGUCGGCUCAUCGCAUCCUGGGGCGGUAGUACGUCCCAAGGGUUGGGCUGUUCGCCCAUGAAAGCGGUACGCGAGCUGGGUUCAGAACGUCGUGAGACAGUUCGGUCCAUAUCCGGUGUAGGCGUUAGAAUAUUGAGAGGAGCCUUCUCUAGUACGAGAGGACCGAGAAGGACAUACCUCUGGUGUACCAGUUAUCGUGCCAACGGUAAACGCUGGGUAGCUAUGUAUGGAGAGGAUAACCGCUGAAAGCAUCUAAGUGGGAAGCCCACCUCAAGAU
rnacentral:rRNA from 1 species